rnacentral:lncRNA from 1 species
UGGGCGUGUUUGUUACACCGUGCAAGCUUGGACUGGCUUGGCUUAAGUUUUAUCCCAUGUUUGUUUUACCCAGUUCUAAUUUUAAAUGGGAUUAGCUAAUACUGGGCCCACUAAAAACACCUCCUUAGGUGUUCUUAGCUAAACCCGUCUGGAGAGGAGGGACUAACAGUCCCGACGACCCAAGCAACUAGCAACCACACCCAAUCGCCCCACAACCAACGACCAACCAAGCAGCAGCCACAACCACCAUCCCCAACCACCAGAUACAACCACCCGCCAUGACCACCAACCACGACCACAAGCCACAGCCACC